rnacentral:rRNA from 1 species
UAGGGGAUAUUGGUAAUGUGCGAAAGCGCGAACCAGCAACGCCGCGUGUGCGAUGAAGGCCUUCGGGUUGUAAAGCACUUUUUGAGGGGAUGAGGAAGGACAGUACCCUCAGAAUAAGCCUCGGCUAACUACGUGCCAGCAGCCGCGGUAAAACGUAGGAGGCGAGCGUUAUCCGGAUUUACUGGGCGUAAAGCGUGUGUAGGCGGUUUGAUAAGUUGGAUGUGAAAGCUCCUGGCUUAACUGGGAGAGGUCGUUCAAAACUAUCAGACUUGAGAGUGGUAGAGGGAGGUGGAAUUCCGGGUGUAGUGGUGAAAUGCGUAGAUAUCCGGAGGAACACCAGUGGCGAAAGCGGCCUCCUGGCCCAUUUCUGACGCUCAGACACGAAAGCUAAGGUAGCAAACGG